GACGUAGGAUGCAAGCGUUGUCCGGAUUUAUUGGGCGUAAAGAGUUCGUAGGUGGUUCGUUAAGUCUGGUGUAAAAGACUGGGGCUCAACCCUGGGAUCGCACUGGAUACUGGCGGACUGGAGUGUGGUAGAGGCAAGUGGAAUUCCCAGUGUAGCGGUGAAAUGCGUAGAUAUUGGGAAGAACACCGGUGGCGCAAGCGACUUGCUGGGCCAUAACUGACACUGAGGAACGAAAGCUAGGGGAGCGAACAGG
rnacentral:rRNA from 1 species